rnacentral:rRNA from 1 species
UGGGCGUAAAGCGUGCGUAGGCGGUUCGUUAAGUCAGAUGUGAAAGCCCUGGGCUCAACCUGGGAACUGCAUUUGAAACUGGCGGACUAGAGUUUAGUAGAGGGGAGUGGAAUUUCAGGUGUAGCGGUGAAAUGCGUAGAUAUCUGAAGGAACACCAGUGGCGAAGGCGACUCCCUGGACUAGAACUGACGCUGAGGUACGAAAGCGUGGGUAGCAAACAGGAUUAGAUACCCUGGUAGUCCACGCCGUAAACGAUGUCGACUAGCCGUUGGUCCUAUUUACAGGAUUAGUGGCGCAGCUAACGCAUUAAGUCGACCGCCUGGGGAGUACGGCCGCAAGGUUAAAACUCAAAUGAAUUGACGGGGGCCCGCACAAGCGGUGGAUUAUGUGGAUUAAUUCGAUGCAACGCGAAAAACCUUACCUGGCCUUGACAUGUAACGAACUUUCCAGAGAUGGAUUGGUGCUCGAAAGAGAACGUUAACACAGGUGCUGCAUGGCUGUCGUCAGCUCGUGUCGUGAGAUGUUGGGUUAAGUCCCGCAACGAGCGCAACCCUUGCCAUUAAUUGCCAUCAUUUAGUUGGGCACUUUAAUGGGACUGCCGGUGACAAAGCCGGAGGAAGGCUGGGGAUGACGUCAAGUCAUCAUGGCCUUUAUGGGUAGGGCUACACACGUGCUACAAUGGGGUGUACAGAGGGUUGCCAACGCGCAAGCGGGAGCUAAUCCUAUAAAACACCUCGUAGUCCGGAUCGGAGUCUGCAACUCGACUCCGUGAGGUUGGAAUCGCUAGUAAUCGC